AUUGAACGCUGGCGGCAGGCCUAACACAUGCAAGUCGAGCGGAUGAAGAGAGCUUGCUCUCUGAUUUAGCGGCGGACGGGUGAGUAAUGCCUAGGAAUCUGCCUGGUAGUGGGGGAUAACGUCCGGAAACGGGCGCUAAUACCGCAUACGUCCUACGGGAGAAAGCAGGGGACCUUCGGGCCUUGCGCUAUCAGAUGAGCCUAGGUCGGAUUAGCUAGUUGGUGAGGUAAUGGCUCACCAAGGCGACGAUCCGUAACUGGUCUGAGAGGAUGAUCAGUCACACUGGAACUGAGACACGGUCCAGACUCCUACGGGAGGCAGCAGUGGGGAAUAUUGGACAAUGGGCGAAAGCCUGAUCCAGCCAUGCCGCGUGUGUGAAGAAGGUCUUCGGAUUGUAAAGCACUUUAAGUUGGGAGGAAGGGCAGUAAGUUAAUACCUUGCUGUUUUGACGUUACCGACAGAAUAAGCACCGGCUAACUUCGUGCCAGCCGCCGCUGUAAGAC
rnacentral:rRNA from 1 species